UACGUAGGGGGCAAGCGUUUGUCCGGAUUUAUUGGGCGUAAAGAGCUCGUAGGCGGUCUGUCGCGUCUGCUGUGAAACUCAGGGCUUAACCCUGAGCUUGCAGUGGGUACGGGCAGACUAGAGUGCGGUAGGGGAGACUGGAAUUCCUGGUGUAGCGGUGAAAUGCGCAGAUAUCAGGAGGAACACCGGUGGCGAAGGCGGGUCUCUGGGCCGUAACUGACGCUGAGGAGCGAAAGCAUGGGGAGCGAACAGG
rnacentral:rRNA from 1 species